UUGGCUUGUCUUGGGUUACUGUGAGAACA
rnacentral:piRNA from 1 species